UAGGUUUUCGGACCUAGAGACCGGCGCACGGGUGCGUAACGCGUAUGCAAUCUACCUUUUACAGAGGGAUAGCCCAGAGAAAUUUGGAUUAAUACCUCAUAGUAUUAUUGAAUGGCAUCAUUUAAUAAUUAAAGUCACAACGGUAAAAGAUGAGCAUGCGUCCCAUUAGCUUGUUGGUAAGGUAACGGCUUACCAAGGCAACGAUGGGUAGGGGUCCUGAGAGGGAGAUCCCCCACACUGGUACUGAGACACGGACCAGACUCCUACGGGAGGCAGCAGUGAGGAAUAUUGGUCAAUGGGCGCAAGCCUGAACCAGCCAUGCCGCGUGCAGGAUGACGGUCCUAUGGA
rnacentral:rRNA from 1 species